rnacentral:rRNA from 1 species
GACGAACGCUGGCGGCGUGCCUAAUACAUGCAAGUAGAACGCACAGUUUAUACCGUAGCUUGCUACACCAUAGACUGUGAGUUGCGAACGGGUGAGUAACGCGUAGGUAACCUGCCUGGUAGCGGGGGAUAACUAUUGGAAACGAUAGCUAAUACCGCAUAAUAUUGAUUAUUGCAUGAUAAUUGAUUGAAAGAUGCUAUUGCAUCACUACCAGAUGGACCUGCGUUGUAUUAGCUAGUAGGUGAGGUAACGGCUCACCUAGGCGACGAUACAUAGCCGACCUGAGAGGGUGAUCGGCCACACUGGGACUGAGACACGGCCCAGACUCCUACGGGAGGCAGCAGUAGGGAAUCUUCGGCAAUGGACGAAAGUCUGACCGAGCAACGCCGCGUGAGUGAAGAAGGUUUUCGGAUCGUAAAGCUCUGUUGUAACAGAAGAACGGGUGUGAGAGUGGAAAGUUCACACUGUGACGGUAUCUUACCAGAAAGGGACGGCUAACUACGUG